rnacentral:rRNA from 1 species
UACGUAGGGUGCAAGCGUUGUCCGGAAUUAUUGGGCGUAAAGAGCUCGUAGGCGGUCUGUCGCGUCUGCCUGUGAAAACUCAGGGCUUAACCCUGAGCUUGCAGUGGGUACGGGCAGACUAGAGGUGCGGUAGGGGAGACUGGAAUUCCUGGUGUAGCGGUGAAAUGCGCAGAGUAUCAGGAGGGAACACCGGUGGGCGAAG